rfam:Camelus ferus unplaced genomic scaffold scaffold925, whole genome shotgun sequence.
GAGGGUAUAGCUCGGUGGUCAAGUGCAUGCUUAGCAUGCAUGAGGUCCUGGGUUCAAUCCCCUGUAUAAUCA